rnacentral:ncRNA from 1 species
UACGGUCCCAUUUCGUGUGUCUAAAUAGGGAAGUCCGGUGUAAAUCCGGCGCUGCCCCCGCAACUGUGAUCGGCGGGACCGGGACACGACGCCACUGACUCCGGUUGGGAAGGCGUCCCGGUCGCAAUUCCGCCAGAGCCAGGAGACCUC